rnacentral:tRNA from 1 species
UAUAUUUUAGUAUAUGAUGUACUUAGGCCUUUGAUGUCUAAAGAGAUAGUUUAAUUCUAUUAAAUAUAA